UACGAAGGGGGCUAGCGUUGUUCGGAAUCACUGGGCGUAAAGGGCGCGUAGGCGGCUUUGUAAGUCGGGGGUGAAAGCCUGUGGCUCAACCACAGAAUUGCCUUCGAUACUGGAUGGCUCGAGACCGGAAGAGGUUGGUGGAACUGCGAGUGUAGAGGUGAAAUUCGUAGAUAUUCGCAAGAACACCGGUGGCGAAGGCGGCAUCCUGGACCAAUACUGACGCUGAGGAGCGAAAGCCAGGGGAGCAAACGGG
rnacentral:rRNA from 1 species